rnacentral:tRNA from 1 species
ACAGAGUAGCUAAGUGGGUAACGCGAUGGCAUUUGAAGCGAAAGAUACUGGGUUCGAGCCCCAGAGUGAACA